GGCAGGAACAGAUAAGCGGUCUGAUGUUUCUCAACUUUCUCCGGGGUAGGGUAUUCAUUCCAGGGUGAGCCACCCAGGUUUGCCUUGAGAGUUUCAACCCAGGUCCUUUAAUAUCAUAGUGGAGCAAAUGGGAAACACAUCAGGCUGUCUGACAGCCAAUUCAAGCUUCUAACCGCCACCUCCUGCUGUCUGGUGCGGUUUGGGCAGGUGAUUUCCCGGGGGGCCCUUUGGCCUUCACUGACCCAAAGGUUCUACAAAAGAUGACUUUUCCUUUCCUCCAGCGUCCUACAGAAGUGGAGCUGGGAUCAGCUAGGUCAUUUUGGCCAACCAUCAAGACCUAGUGAAAGAUAGGCUGCAAUCAUGUUUGGUGCUAAAAAGAAAUUGCUUG